rnacentral:rRNA from 1 species
UACGCUAUCGGAUAUUGGGCGUAAGCGCGCGCAGGCGGUUAUCUUAAGUCUGAUGUGAAAGCCCCCGGCUCAACCGGGGAGGUGCAUUGGAGACUGGGGAACUUGAGUGCAGAAGAGGAGAGUGGAAUUCCACGUGUAGCGGUGAAAUGCGUAGAGAUGUGGAGGAACACCAGUGGCGAAGGCGACUCUCUGGUCUGUAACUGACGCUGAGGCGCGAAAGCGUGGGGAGCGAACAGGAUUAGAUACCCCGGUAGUACA